rnacentral:rRNA from 1 species
UACAGAGGUCUCAAGCGUUGUUCGGAUUCAUUGGGCGUAAAGGGUGCGUGGCGGCGCGGUAAGUCGGGUGUGAAAUCUUGGAGCUUAACUCCGAAACUGCAUUCGAUACUGCCGUGCUUGAGGACUGGAGAGGAGACUGGAAUUUACGGUGUAGCGGUGAAAUGCGUAGAUAUCGUAAGGAAGACCAGUGGCGAAGGCGGGUCUCUGGACAGUUCCUGACGCUGAGGCACGAAGGUCAGGGGAGCAAACGGG